GAUGAACGCUAGCGGGAGGCUUAACACAUGCAAGUCGAGGGGCAGCAUAGGGUAGCAAUACUCUGAUGGCGACCGGCAAACGGGUGAGUAACGCGUAUGCAACCUACCCUGUACAGGGGGAUAACCCGGAGAAAUUCGGACUAAUAUCCCGUAAUAAUAUCCGGAGGCAUCUUUGGAUAUUUAAAGUUCCGACGGUACGGGAUGGGCAUGCGUAACAUUAGCUGGUUGGUAAGGUAACGGCUUACCAAGGCUAUGAUGUUUAGGGGUCCUGAGAGGGUGGUCCCCCACACUGGUACUGAGACACGGACCAGACUCCUACGGGAGGCAGCAGUGAGGAAUAUUGGUCAAUGGGCGCAAGCCUGAACCAGCCAUCCCGCGUGCAGGAAGACGGCCCUAUGGGUUGUAAACUGCUUUUCCAGGGAGAGAAACUUACGCACGUGUUGCGUGACUGACGGUACCCUGGGAAUAAGCAUCGGCUAACUCCGUGCCAGCAGCCGCGGUAAAAUCACGUGUACC
rnacentral:rRNA from 1 species